UGGACCUGAUAUCAGGCAAGAUUA
rnacentral:rRNA from 2 species